GCAGUAGAGUGGUGAGGGUGUUUGACUCCCAACUGAAAGGCUCUGGGUUCAAACCCCAAUGUCUGCA